GGAGGGAUGGCAGAGUGGACGAUUGCGGCGGUCUUGAAAACCGUUGUGGGCGUUGGUCCCACCGGGGGUUCGAAUCCCUCUCCCUCCG
rnacentral:tRNA from 1 species